CAUUGUGUCAACUACUGGUUAGUGUCGGAUGCAGGAUAAAUUAAAAACUCAAAUUGAGAGUUUCCAUUGUGGCUCAGCAGGUUAAUAACCCAACAUAGUCUCCAUGAGGAUUCAGGUUCAAUUCCUGGCAUCGAUCAGUGGGUUAAAGAUUGGGCAUUGUCAUAAGCUGUGGUGUAGGUUUCAGAUGCGGCUUGGAUCCAGAGGCUGUGAUGUUGGCCAUCAACUAACUGCAGCUCCAAUUUGACCCCUAGCCUGGGAAUUUCCAAAUGCUGUAGGUGUGGCCAUAAAAAGAAAAAAAAAAAAAAGACCCAAAUUAAAAAGAUUUUUAAUUAAAAAACCCCAAAGCACUGUAAAUCAACUAUACUUCAAUAAAAUAAAUUUUCAAAAACUCCAAAGACAGUUUCUUCUGCCUCUUUCAAAAAUUUUAUCUUCAAAGCUUUUUCAUGUACGAAAUGCUAUUGAGUCAGGUCUCCUUACUUUAAGCUUAUGUAGAGGAUUUUUUUUUUUUAACCCUAAAUGUAAGUUCAGCCAGUUCAGUGAUUUUCUUGUCUAACACUCUAGAGUUACACUUAGGAGCUGCCCUCAAGGUGGAGGUCCCUGCACUGUGGCCCUAUAAUUAUACGCUUUGGGAACUUCUGUAAAUAAUUGCCUUGGAUGGAGUCCAAGCAGAUUUCUGCUGAGUUCUGAUGUGUACAUAAAGGUGUCUCUGUGAUCUGCCAACUGUGUUUGCUUGCUUAGUGAUGAGAGAGGUCACCAAAGCCAGAAAAAAACCUAGAAACCCCAGCCUCCACCUUAGUCACUAGGUGAAAAUCAGCACCCCUUGUGUACAACCAAAUGCUUUUCGAGUUUCCUGUGCCUAUAGUUACUAACAUGGUAUUUAUAUGACUGGAAUUCUUGCUGUUGCAGGUGACAAAAAUGCAAAUCAAAGUAGAUACAGAAGGGCAUUUGUUGGCUUCCAUAAAUGAACACUUUAGGGAAAUCCUCAGGCAUGAUUGGCUCCGGAUCCAGGAAUCUUUCUCAUCUCUAGAUGCUCUUGUCUUCCUUUUUCCAGAUCUCACCACGUUGUAAUUCUGUUCAAGCAUCUCAGGCAAACAGCAGCACGGGGCUUGGCCAGAGUACACCUGGAGAGUGGCAUGCCAUUUACAAAGUCACUGUCCAGUCAAGGAGUGAACAAAUGCAAUGGGACAGAGGUGGUGACAUUCCAAGGAUGGGGUACCGGGAGCCAUCCGCCCCAGCAGAGAGAGUUUUAUCAUUGAUAUUGUUUAGAAUCACUUACACUCAUGAUAAUAAAAACCAGGGAUCAAACCCAAGCCACAGCAAUGACCUAAGCCACAGCAGGGACAAUGCCAGAUCCUUAACCACUUGGCCACCAGGGAACUCCUUAUUUCAUUUUUAUUACUUUUUUGUUUCUUUUUGUUUUGCUUUUUAGGACUGCACCUACAGCAAAUGAAGGUUCCCAGGCUAGGGGUCUAACAGCUGCCAGCCUACCCCACAACCACAGCAACGCCAGAUCCGAGCCACAUCUGCGAUCCACACCACAGCUCACGACGCCAGAUCCUUAACCCACUGAACAAGACCAGGGAUCGAACCCGCAAUCUCAUGGUUCCUAGUCAGAUGCGUUUCCACUGUGCCACAGUGGGAACUCCUUAUUACUGUUUUUAAAUUAUCUACACACAGUGCCCCCACCCCCAAUUCUUGCACCCAGGCCAUCACCUUGCCUUUGGUACAUCACUAGCUGUAGAAGUCCCUCCUAUUUCUCAGCACACCCAUCCAAAGAGCUUGUCAGCGCUCAUAGCUUCACCUGCCACCUCCUGGCUGGUGGCUUUGAGAACUCUCUCUCCCCCAGCAGCAGCAGCAGCUUCCUGAAGAACAUUUCCGCUUCGACAAACCCUCUGUCUGAUACUGAACUCUGCCUUGCUUCCCCUGUGCUUCUGAUCUCAGAAAAUGCAUCUCCUCAAGUACUUAGGAGAGA
rnacentral:lncRNA from 1 species